UGAGGGGUCGCCAAGCUGGUAAGGCACCUGACUGUUACUCAGGCCAUGCGCAGGUUCGAAUCCUGCCCCCUCAG
rfam:Acidobacteria bacterium RIFCSPLOWO2_12_FTLL_66_21 rifcsplowo2_12_scaffold_4648, whole genome shotgun sequence.